GAAAUGCGAUACUUGGUGUGAAUUGCAGAAUCCCGUGAACCAUCGAGUCUUUGAACGCAAGUUGCGCCCGAAGCCAUUAGGCCGAGGGCACGCCUGCCUGGGUGUCACACAUCGUUUCCCCAACGCGCCUCGUGGUUGGUUGAAAUCUGGGUUCAUGGCCGACUUCGCCGUGAUAAAAUGGUGGAUGAGCCACGCUCGAGACCAAUCACGUGCGAGCCGGUCAGUUCUGGACCCAUCGACGACCCUUUGCGUGCACGCACGCUCCCAACGAGACCUCAGGUCAGGCGGGGCUACCCGCUGAGUUUAA
rnacentral:misc_RNA from 1 species